GGGAGGGGGGGAGGCAGGGACAGAAGUGCACUAAGCCCAAAGAAAAAAUAACAGCUCUGGAGAAAGAAAUGGGCUCCAUCUCCAGAUUCUGGGAGUCCUAGGCUUGGCGACUAGGCUGCAGAGAAGGGCUGGGGACCGGAUAGUAAUGCAGAAGACGGGGCUCCGAAGGAGCGCCUCUCAUGAUGCCCAGCUCGGAUGCAGACAUGGCUAUUAGGUGCAUGUGGCCUUGCGUCCCCAGGGCCAGGCACCGAGAUCACGAGACCACGCAAGCUCCGGUUAAGAAAGCGUGCGGUGAGAGGCUGCGGGAAAGGGACCACCCUGCGUCUGCGGAGAGCGGAGACGCACCCGGCUCUCACCCGCGGCAGGCAGACGGAGAAGGAGGCGCCGACACCCGGAAAUUCCGAGGCACUCCGUCCCUUCGCCGGCUGCAGGUCAUGGGAUAGAAGAAGUCACCACUCCUGCAUCUUUCAAGUUUGUAAUGAAGUCAACUAAUCUUUGCAAUAUCUCCAAGAUUUGGAAGACAAUAACUUAGGACACAAAAGGCUUGCAAGUCCCCACAAGGCUUUCUUUUUCACCUGGAAGAACAGAAAAUACAGAAUUCAGGCAGCACUCCAUGCCUUUGCCAACCCUUGUGGGCAGAUGGAUAUUUCACUGCUCUUGAACUUCCAUCAGCUCCAUUUCAAUAACAUGCUGGGUCUACCCGGGCUAUCUCAGAAUCUGAUUUUCAAAUUUUUGAGAGAAUCCAACUGGCCCAUUCAACCUUGGCCAGAGAAGAGAAAAGGAAGCUGAAUCAAAAUGCAUCAGGCCCUUGAAUGCAGAAGGAAGCCAAGAUGUGCACACAGGACUGCUGGUGCCAGAGAGAGCGUGCAAACAGGGGAGGGGAAGAGAAAAAGAAGACAGAGGAUCCAAAGUGGGCUCUACAAUGACAACAGAGAGACCGAUAUGGGGCUCAAACCCACAAACCGUGAGCCAAAGGCGAACACUCAACCGACUGAGCCACCCAGGUGCCCCUCAGGUUUCCAUUCUCAGCAGGACAUUCGUUAUAUACACAGCUAGCAAAGGAGAAGUCACAGCUGGGCCUCCCAGCAGCUCUGGCCUGGAAGAGGGGCUGGGGACAGCUGUGGGGGCACAAGACCUACAGUUGCACCUCCACCGCGGGUGCCCAGUGCCCUGCCCUUGGGUGGCCUCUGCUCCCCAGCUUCUGCUUCUAGGCUGGUCUAGGUACCAGCCCACUCAGCCCCUGAAGUUAGAACCUCAGGAUCUUUAACAAGUCACUCAAUUCCCUAAGCCUCAGUGUCCUUAUGUGUUAAAAUGGAAAUAAGACUAUUUGACUAUAUGAGGCUAUACGAGGAUUAAGUGAGAUAAUCAUGUGCAGCAACCAGUACGCUUGCUAUCACACAGGCCUGUCUUUUUUUCUGCCCCUGCUGCCAACAAAGAGCCAAGUUACUACUUCUCUCUCCCCCUUUUGUGUCUGUACAUCUGAUGUGUACAAAGCAUCAAUUGUAGCCCCUGUCCCUGGAGGCCUGGGACCAACUGUGGAUCUUGGUUCUGAAUAGGAGGGGCAAAGCACCCAGAGACACACAUUUUCAUGCAGGCGGCAUAGCCCAAAUACGGUAAGAUUUCUGCUCUUCGAGUACUGUUUUGGUCUUUGUUGUUGUUGUUUUAUUAUUAAUUUUGUGUUCAGAAAUGCUACCCCCAAAGGGACAAAGAUAAUCUCGCCAAACCUCAGAACCUGGUAAGGAGAUACUAGCUGACACUGAAUGCUCCUGACAUACUAAGCACAGUUCCAAGUACUUUCUGUGGCUUAACUCAUUUAUCUUCACCACAACACAUGACCUGGGUGUUAUUAUCCCCAUUUGGCCAACAAGGAAACUAAGGCCUCAAGAGGUUAAACCAUGGCCUCAUCCCAUAGCUAGUAAGUAGCAGAGCCAGGGUUCAAGCUCCAGAGGCCUUCUCUAGAGUCUGACCAGACCAAUGGUGGUGCAACGUCUAUAUCAACAUAUAUCUACCUUGUUUUUGGCAUAGAUGCCUGACAAAUGGCAUUUUCAGAUGUGACAUUCUCAUGCAUAUGCCAUGGAGAUAUAUACAAUAUGUCCAGCCUUCUGGAAGGAAACUAAAAGGAUACUAAAAAAUAAACUUGAAAUGCUCCCAGUCUAUGCCAAAAUGCAAGUCAUUCACAAACUUCAGUAUUAUUAUUUGCAAUGUAUCAUAUUUUAAAAUGGCUGCUCUCUUGUAUAUACGUGUCACAGUGACUUAUUUUGAUUGCCUAGCUUCUGAAGCUCCUUCCUAUCUUUGGAAAGGGCCUACCAUGCUGCUUCCUGACUUCCCAGAUUCUUGCUAUCAGCCUGGGUAUGGACAUGUGCCCCAGACUUUACCCAGCCAGACAGUCCUGUCUGGAACUUGAAUACAAAGAAGUAAGGAAAGCAGAGGAUUCAUCUGGAGCCAGAGGAGAGGGCAGCACAGCUAGUGGCACCAGUGUCAGUAACAGGCAGCAGCUAUGGAUUACAUCUCAGACUGUUGCUGGGCAUGAUAUUGGCCAAGGCUCCCAUGGCAAUGCUGCCCGAUUAGUUUCCCAGGCCUGCCAUAACAAAGUACCACAUGCUUGGGUGCUUGAAAUGACAGAAAUAUAUUCUUUCACAGUUCUAGAGGCCAGAAGUCUGAAAUCAAAGCACUGGAAAGGCCAUGUUCUCUCUGCAAGCUCUAGGGAAGGAUCCUUCCUGGCCUCUUCGAGCUUUCAGUGGUUGUGGGCAAUCCGUGGUGUUCCUUGGCUGGUAGCAGGAUUGCUCCAAUCCCCAUCUCCAUCUUCACAUAGCCUUACCUGUGUCUCCUCCUAUGUCUCUGUGUGUAAUGCUCUCAUUCCUUUCUCUUACAAAAAUGCCAGGCACUGGUUAGGGGCCACCUUCAACCAAUAUGAUCAUAUUUUAAUAUGACUAUAUCUAAAACCCUAUUUCCAAACAAGCUCACCUUCAGUUACUGGGGGUGAGGUGAGGACUUCAACAUACCUUUCUGGGGGACACAAUUCAACUCACAACAUCUACAUUCUUGCUAAUUUCCUGGGCCUGAUCUCUGGCCAUCCCAGUGAUCUUGCGAUCCAUCUAAUGUUUUUCAGCUUAAAUUGGCAGAAUUAAUUUUGCUGCUUGCAACUUUAAACCGUGACCUGUCUUAUCACUGCCUCUAUUUCCUUGAUUUUCCAUAGGAGAAUCUCCAUUCAGAGGUCACUAGGGAUGAGCAGAAUAGUGACUUAAUUAUGGAAAAGGCCAAUCUGCUUUAAGAUUCCUAGUCCACUCUCUGGAUCAAGCACACCGAGGAGAAGAUUGACCAGGGCCAUGCUAAAGGAAGGGCUCAGACUGAGUAGUCCCAACCUCAUGACUGAAAUGCAUGUAGAACCUACUGAUUUCCUAAACUAUGAGUUUGUUCUCAAGCUGGAUCUCACUUUGGAGCAGAAUUUGACUAAUCUUUGCCUCUGGCCAACGGAUGGUGUGAGGCCUGUUUUGGUGGCAAAGGACCACACUGCUUGCAACAGAUCCCAUAGAUGUUGCCCCAGUCUGUAUAAUUUUCAUCAAGUCAUGACAGCAGCACCAAAGGGUCUAAGUGGCAUUUCAAUUGUGUUUGGUCUAAAGUUUCUAAAACCUCAUCAAUGCUAUUAAGAACAAUAUCAUUAUGCCAGAAAGAGUCGCAGAGGAAACAAAACAUUAUGGGGUUCUAAGAAACAUGGUAAUCAAAGACAGCUGAGCCUAAAAAGACAAAUCCAUGUCAAUGACUUCAAGGAAAUAAAAAUACAUUUAAAAUGUUUGAGUAAAUCAACUUCACAAAUGGCCAUUAGGAGAAGAGUAGCAAUACUAGUUUUUGCCCUGCUUUGCUUCCUUUUUUGACCUGUCCCUUGCCAACUUCAUGGAAUUAUGGUAGGACUAGGGACCACAUAAGUUUGGAACUGCCUGAAACUAUCUUUGCCAUUAUUUGCAGAGAGUCUGUUUGAGAAUGAAGCCAAUCCAAGAAAGAAGAAUCCAAGAGAUACAUACAAAGUUAUUAUUUCAUUUGAGUCCCACAAUCCAGCUGUAUCUAAAAAUACCCAUUAAACUUCCCAGUUAUUUGAA